rnacentral:rRNA from 1 species
GAUGAACGCUGGCGGCGUGCCUAAUACAUGCAAGUCGAGCGAACGGACGAGAAGCUUGCUUCUCUGAUGUUAGCGGCGGACGGGUGAGUAACACGUGGAUAACCUACCUAUAAGACUGGGAUAACUUCGGGAAACCGGAGCUAAUACCGGAUAAUAUUUUGAACCGCAUGGUUCAAAAGUGAAAGACGGUCUUGCUGUCACUUAUAGAUGGAUCCGCGCUGCAUUAGCUAGUUGGUAAGGUAACGGCUUACCAAGGCAACGAUGCAUAGCCGACCUGAGCGGGUGAUCGGCCACACUGGAAGUGAGACACGGUCCAGACUCCUACGGGAGGCAGCAGUAGGGAAUCUUCCGCAAAGGGCGAAAGCCUGACGGAGCAACGCCGCGUGAGUGAUGAAGGUCUUCGGAUCGUAAAACUCUGUUAUUAGGGAAGAACAUAUGUGUAAGUAACUGUGCACAUCUUGACGGUACCUAAUCAGAAAGCCACGGCUAACUACGUG